rnacentral:misc_RNA from 1 species
GAUGAAGAACGUAGCGAAAUGAGAUACGUAAUGUGAAUUGCAGAAUUCAGUGAAUCAUCGAAUCUUUGAACGCAUAUUGCGCUCUCUGGUAUUCCGGAGAGCAUGCUUGUUUGAGUAUCAGUAAACACCUCAACUUCCAUAUCUUUUUUGAAAUGGGAGUUGGACUUGAGUGAUCCCAACGCUUUUCCUCACCGAAAAGUGGCGGGUUACUUGAAAUGCAGGUGCAGCUGGACUUUUCUCUGAGCUAUAAGCAUAUCUAUUUAGUCUGCCUAAAAAACAGAUUAUUACCUUUGCUGCAGCUAACAUAAAGGAGAUUAGUUCUUGUGCUGACUGAUGCAGGAUUCACAAAGACGGCUUCGGCCGACUUUGUAAACUCGAUCUCAAAUCAAGUAAGACUACCCGCUGAACUUAAGCAUAUCAAUAAGCGGAGGA